GCAAGUCGAGGGGUAACAGGGAUUGCUUGCAAUCCGCUGACGACCGGCGCACGGGUUCGUAACGCGUAUAGAACCUACCUUUUACUGAGGGAUAGCCUUUAGAAAUGAAGAUUAAUACCUCAUGGUAUUGAAUUUUGGCAUCAGAAUUUAAUUAAAGAUUUAUUGGUAAAAGAUGGCUAUGCGUCCGAUUAGCUAGAUGGUAAGGUAACGGCUUACCAUGGCAACGAUAGGUAGGGGUCCUGAGAGGGGGAUC
rnacentral:rRNA from 1 species